rnacentral:lncRNA from 1 species
AGGACAGGUGACCGCAAAGCAGAAGUGAUGAAGAGCCAGUCACCAUGGCCACAUCUUGAGGUCACACAGUCAGCAGUUCGCUUUGCUCACUCAGUCCUAUAAAGAACAGCAAGGUGGCCAGUGGGCUAGUGUGAAAUAAUUAAGAGGACAAUUCAUAGAAAAUGGAAAUGGAAAGACAGCAGGAGGGCAGACCAAACAGUAUCUCCUGGACCCGUUAAAGGCUUUGGAUUUUACACUGGAGAAAUGGAAAGCCUGCGACUAACUGAAAAAGUUACACAGCUGACACUGCUGCUUAAAGAAACCAGAUGGCGCCAGAGCUUCUUGACCCCUGACCAGAUGCCAGAGGAAGAUAAGACACCAUAAAACCAGCGCAAAUGGGAACUGGCAAACCCUGGGUGCCUUUAGAUCAUGAACAUAUCAUUAUAAUGCUAAUUUCCCUUCCCUAAAAGAAAAUCUCUGCCAUUUUGUGUACAUAUGAUAUAUGAAGAUGCAUGUUUAUGAAUUGGGCCUGCGUGUCUGGAGUCCCACCCUGCACAUACUAACAUUCCUUUCCUGCCCCAUAGGAAUAAAGGCAAUAAACCCCUUGCCUUUUAUUCUUCAAGAAAAGAUGCUUUCAGAGGAAGAGCUCACCUUCUCCAUUCCCUGGCAAAUGAAUAAAACCUGAUUGCCUUUUUCAAUGGGAUAUUCUUUGUUUGUGACUGAUACACAGUGGGGAAAAAACUCAUUUUAUCAGGGACACUUUGGGAGACCCAGGCCAGAGGAUUGGUUGAGGCCAGGAGUUUGAGACCAGCCUGGGCAAUAGAGCCAG